rnacentral:rRNA from 1 species
UGGCGGACGGGUGAGUAACGCGUAAAGAACUUGCCCUUUAGACUGGGAUAACAGAGGGAAACUUCUGAUAAUACUGGAUAAGUUAGUAUAUCGCAUGAUAUGCAAAUGAAAGCUACGGCACUAAAGGAGAGCUUUGCGUCCUAUUAGCUAGUUGGUAAGGUAAGAGCUUACCAAGGCGAUGAUGGGUAGCCGGCCUGAGAGGGUGGACGGCCACAAGGGGACUGAGAUACGGCCCUUACUCCUACGGGAGGCAGCAGCC